rnacentral:rRNA from 1 species
CUACACGGGUAUCUAAUCCUGUUUGCUCCCCACGCUUUCGUGCAUGAGCGUCAGUACAGGUCCAGGGGAUUGCCUUCGCCAUUGGUGUUCCUCCGCAUAUCUACGCAUUUCACUGCUACACGCGGAAUUCCAUCCCCCUCUACCGUACUCUAGCCUUGCAGUCACAAAUGCAGUUCCCAGGUUGAGCCCGGGGAUUUCACAUCUGUCUUGCAAAGCCGCCUGCGCACGCUUUACGCCCAGUAAUUCCGAUUAACGCUCGCACCCUACGUAUUACCGCGGCUGCUGGCAC